rnacentral:lncRNA from 1 species
UCUACCAAAUGAGACCUACUAGAAGUGUGGUGGUGUGGAAUCCUGCAAAUGAUCACAAAAAAAAGAAAAGCCCUUCUUCUCCAUUGGAUAUAGUAGUGCUUGGGUGGCUUGGCAGCCAUCUUGCUCCCAGCUGGAAGGCAAGCAACACACAGAGGCCACAUUAGAUUUGAUCAGAUCUGGACGAAGAAGCAUAAAGUUGUCUUUAGCAAGAUUUCAGAUUAGGAAGGAGAGUGUGUGUAGCCAGCCACAGCAAGGAAAGCAGUUAUCUUGGUUAAGAAUCAAAUUCUUCAUCAGAAAGGAAAUCAGUGCCAUUGACUCCUAAUUUUACAAUUAGAUUCAGAGACUUUAUUAUUUUUUAGCACUUUGCAAAAAAUGGAAGUGAAUAUUUUUCAUGUGUUUGGGAUCAAUUAUUAGGGUAAAUUAAAACUUUGCACAUUA